UACGGAGGGUGCAAACGUUGCUCGGAAUCAUUGGGCGUAAAGCGCACGUAGGCGGCCUGUUAAGUCGGAUGUGAAAGCCCUUGGCUUAACUGAGGAAGUGCAUCCGAAACUGGCAGGCUAGAGUACUAAAGAGGGUCGCGGAAUUCCCGGUGUAGAGGUGAAAUUCGUAGAUAUCGGGAGGAACACCGGUGGCGAAGGCGGCGACCUGGGUAGAUACUGACGCUGAGGUGCGAAAGCGUGGGGAGCAAACAGG
rnacentral:rRNA from 1 species